rnacentral:rRNA from 1 species
AAACACGGUCUCAGUUCAGAUUGCAGGCUGCAACUCGCCUGCAUGAAGUUGGAAUUGCUAGUAAUCGCGAAUCAGAAUGUCGCGGUGAAUACGUUCCCGGGCCUUGUACACACCGCCCGUCACACCAUGAGAGUCGAUAACACCCGAAGCCUGUGAGCUAACCGUAAGGAGGCAGCAGUCGAAGGUGGGGUUGAUGAUUGGGGUGAAGUCGUAACAAGGUACC